GGUCUGAGAGGAUGAUCAGCCACACUGGGAUUGAGAUAUGCCCAGACUCCUACGGGAGGUAGUAGUGGGGAAUAUUGGAUAAUGGGUGAAAGCCUGAUCCAGCAAUGCCGCGUGUGUGAAGAAGGCCUGCGGGUUGUAAAGCACUUUCAGUGGGGAAGAAAAGCCUGAGGUUAAUAUUUUUGGGUUUUGAUGUUAUUUAUAGAAGAAGCACCGGCUAACUCCGUGUUAGUAGUUGUGGUAAUACGGAGGGUGCAAGCGUUAAUCGGAAUCACUGGGCGUAAAGCGCACGUAGGCGGCUAGGUAAGUCAGAUGUGAAAGUUUUGGGUUUAAUUUGGGAAUUGUAUUUGAUAUUGCCUGGCUUGAGUAUGGUAGAGGGGGGUGGAAUUUUAGGUGUAGUGGUGAAAUGUGUAGAUAUUUGGAGGAAUAUUAGUGGUGAAGGUGGUUUUUUGGAUUAAUAUUGAUGCUGAGGUGCGAAAGCGUGGGGAGUAAACAGGAUUAGAUAUUUUGGUAGUUUAUGUUGUAAACGAUGUCGACUAGCCGUUGGAUUUAUUUAAGGGUUUAGUGGCGCAGUUAAUGUGAUAAGUCGACCGCCUGGGAGUACGGCCGCAAGGUUAAAACUCAAAGGAAUUGACGGGGGCCCGCACAAGCGGUGGAGCAUGUGGUUUAAUUUGAUGCAAUGUGAAGAAUCUUACCAGCCCUUGAUAUCCUCGGAACUUAGCAGAGAUGUUUUGGUGUUUUUGGGAGUUGAGUGAUAGGUGUUGUAUGGCUGUCGUCAGCUCGUGUUGUGAGAUGUUGGGUUAAGUUUUGUAAUGAGUGUAACCCUUGUCCUUAGUUGCCAGUAUAUAAUGGUGGGAAUUUUAAGGAGACUGCCGGUGAUAAACCGGAGGAAGGUGGGGAUGACGUCAAGUCAUUAUGGCCCUUAUGGGCUGGGUUAUACAUGUGCUACAAUGGUCGGUACAGAGGGUUGCGAAGCAGUGACGUGGAGCCAAUCCCAGAAAACCGAUCGUAGUCCGGAUUGCAGUCUGCAACUCGACUGCAUGAAGUCGGAAUCGCUAGUAAUUGUGAAUUAGAAUGUUGUGGUGAAUAUGUUCCCGGGCCUUGUACACACCGCCCGUCACACCAUGGGAGUUGGUUGCACCAGAAGUAGAUAGCUUAACCUUCGGGAGGGCGUUUAUUAUGGUGUGAUCAAUGACUGGGGUGAAGUUGUAAUAAGGUA
rnacentral:rRNA from 1 species